ACGGCAAAAUCACGCUGAAACACCGGUUCUCGUACGAUCACUGAAGUUAAGCAACGUCAAGCCUAGUCUGUAACUAGUUGGGUGACCGCUUGAGAAUAGCAGGUGCU